rnacentral:sRNA from 1 species
CCGCACUGGUUUGAUCGGGAUACUCAUCAGUAAUAUUUAUGAAACCGAGAACGCUUCGCAUGCUAAUGGCGGGCCACGCCCUGUAAUUGGGGUAACCUUAGAGUCGGUGGAUUACAAAGGCUGCGAGCACUCAAAACUUGUUCUUUCGGAGUUUCAUCACAUCACCAGUGCGGUUUUA